rnacentral:lncRNA from 1 species
UCUGGUACUAACAUGCUGGGUCUGGACCAUACACUCUGAGGGAAGUAAAUUCCUUAACUGAUCCUUAAACUCCCCACCCUCCAACUGCCACCUCCUUCAGCUAGAAUCACCUGAAGUCAGCUUUGCAUUUCCAUGGAUCGCUAACUCUUCUUUUGCUUCUCCAGCUCAGGACCACUCCAAUGACCCACCUAACAAGAUGAAUGAAGUUACUUAUUCUACCCUGAACUUUGAAGCCCAGCAACCCACACAACCAACUUCAGCCUCCCCAUCCCUAACAGCCACAGAAAUAAUUUAUUCAGAAGUAAAAAAGCAGUAAUGAAA